GACGAACGCUGGCGGCGUGCUUAACACAUGCAAGUCGAACGGAAGUUAGAUGUUAGACUGUAGAUGUUAGAUAAUAGAUGAAGGAAUAGGAAAACCAGGAUAAAGAACCGACAUCUAAAAUCUAGUUUCUAGAGUCUAAUGUCUAACUUUAGUGGCGGACGGGCGAGUAACGCGUGAGCAACCUGCCCCUCAGUGGGGAAUAACGGCUGGAAACGGCCGCUAAUACCGCAUAACAUAUCCACUCGGCAUCGGGAGGAUAUCAAAGGAGCAAUCCGCUGAGGGAUGGGCUCGCGUCCGAUUAGCUAGUUGGUGAGGUAAGGGCUCACGAGCA
rnacentral:rRNA from 1 species